rnacentral:tRNA from 1 species
GGGGCUAUAGUUCAAUCGGUUUUAGAGCACCGCCCUGUCACGGCGGAAGUUGCGGGUUCGAGUCCCGUUAGCCCCG